rnacentral:lncRNA from 1 species
GGCUGCCUCAACUGGAAGCGGGUCUCAUUGGGGCCUAAUGUUCAAGGUCGUUGGGAGGGUGGAACAGCACUUGGCGCUGGAGAGAGCUCAGUGCAGAGAGUUGCUCCCUGUAGGACACCCCUGGAUGCCUAACAGUAACCAUGACAACAGCAAAGCCAGCAAUUGCAGAAGCCACACCCGCCAUCCACCCCUAGCACCAGGCCUCACUGUCAGCACGUUCUUACAUCGCCAGGUCGAAUCCCUAAGUUCUGUGACACUGUCCCCACUUCACAGCAGAGGAUGCUGAGCCUGGGAAAUUAGGUCAGGCUCAAGGUCAUGUGGGUACUGGGUGGCAGAAUCAGUUUCGAACCUGGCCAUCUGCCUCCAGAGCCGACAGUGUGACCGCCUUGCGGAUCCGCCUCAGUUUCCUCUCUUCUCUCAUCUUUCUCUUGCUCUUUCCCUCCUCUCUCUUCAGGGUCCUGAAGGAAAAUCAGGGAAGCAAGGCGAGAAGGGCCGCACUGGAGCCAAGGGCGCCAAGGGCUACCAAGGACAGCUGGGUGAGAUGGGCGUCCCUGGAGACCCUGGACCCCCUGGCACUCCAGGCCCUAAAGGGUCCCGGGGCAGCCUGGGACCAACGGUGAGGACUCUCUGGCUGGGGUGGGGGAGUCAGAUGUGGAAUAGAGGGAACCAAGGUCAGGAAAGGAGACACCAGGCUUCUCUGUGCUGUUAUCACCCACCCCAGCUAUUAGCUGAACACCUGGUGCUCAUUGUCCCAGCCACCUCUCUGAAUCAUGAAUCGCUUUGGUAACCUGCAGAAAGCUGCAGCCCCGCCUCCGGAACAGUACACACCACACAGAAUAUUUCCUGCAAUUUGAAGGGGUGUGUGGGUCCCCUGAAGCCCUCUAUGGACCCAAAUUAAUAAGCCUUGUUAUUAGCAUCGGGGGAGAAAGGACCAGAUUCUUAGA